AAGGCAGGUAAGCCUAACCGACAAGGGAGUGGCGCCCUACCCAACGGGUGUGGUCAUGACUGGGGUG
rnacentral:rRNA from 1 species